GAUAAGUCAGAUGUCGGGGUAAACAAGCCAGAAUUGAGACAGAAAGAUAAUGGUGGCGCAGGGCCAAGGGGUGUUAAUCAUUUACAUAGAAAGGAGUUACUGUGUAUGUUAUGCAAGAGUGGAAAGGUAUAAAAGCACUUUCAUGGAAUUGCUCGGCUUCUGUUACUUUUGUAAUAAAGUCUAAUUGAAUUUACAAGUUCCGGUAUCUGAAAUAUUUGAUUCAAUAUUUCCACGACAAGAUUCAAGGAAAAGCAGCCAACAAGUGCUCAGCCUAUGUGGGAACUCCUUCAAGACUGUUGGAAAUGCAUUCCAGUGUGCCCUAACAAAUAUGACCCAGGUGUACCUACCCAGGCCCACGCUGCUGUUUUCCAAGAGGUAGCUGAGGUGGUCAAACAUGGCCUUCUGGUUCUGACGACUGAUCCUGCAGAAGUAACACAGGAAGCGACAGCAGCUGGCCACCAUCUUGGGGAACGCUAUCUCCUGAGAGAAGAAGAAAGAGAA